rnacentral:rRNA from 1 species
GUCGUAACAAGGUUUCCGUAGGUGAACCUGCGGAAGGAUCAUUAACGCAUAUCCAAACCUACUCAACCAAGCCAACCUGUUGCGGAGCGCAAGCGACGCAGCUAACAACCUAACCAAAAGAAGCAUAACUAAGCUAAAAAACAAAAACAAAUCCUCGACGAUGGAUAUCUAGGUUCCUACGACGAUGAAGAACGCAGCGAAGUGCGAUAAGCAAUGCGAAUUGCAGAGCCGAGAGUCAUCAGAUUUUUGAACGCAACUGGCACCUGGGGGUACCCCCCCAGGUAUGCUUCCUUCAGUGUGUGAAUCUCUCAUCACCCAAACCAUAAUGCGAUAGAUGCCCUUCUAUUGCUAAACAUGAAAGCACUCUGUUCUCUGCAGCGGAGGUCCUCGGACUGACGCACUCAAUGCAGUAGUCACAUUCUCAAGUGUGAUCUCAUUGAGCGUGGAGGCAGCGCAUGUCUCAUGCCAGUGCUUAGACACUAAAAUUUUACAAGCAUCUGAAGUGAAGUAGGAGGACCCGCUGAACUUAAGCAUAUCAUUAAGCGGAGGAAAAGAAACUAACAAGGAUUCCCUCAGUACGGGCGACGGAAGCGGGAAAAGCCCACAGUGGUAAUCUCCGUGCGAGAGCGCGGCGAAUUGUAAUCUGAAGGUGGGCAGCCGAGCCAGCCGUCUAGACGCAGAAGUAUCGCUGAGGCGGUCGCCAAAGAGGGUGAGAGCCCCGUCUGCGGUGUCUGGGCAUGGCAGAGGCUGUUGGCCGAAGAGUCGUGUACUUUGAUACUAGUGCACAAAGCGGGAGAUAAACUUCUUCUAAGGCUAAAUAAACGUAGGAGACCGAUAGCGAACAAGUACUGUGAAGGAAAGAUGAAAAGCACUUUGGAAAGAGCGUCAAAAGACUUGAAAUCGUCGAGGCGGACCCGGUAGAAAGGAAUUCUGUGGAGGCCCCGGCGUAGCCUGCGAAAGCGGGCGAGUUGGGUCCCCAACGAGGCAAGAUGGAGUCGUCGGAUGCCAGAGGCCGUGCGUGAAGAGGCUUGCCUAGGCGCGUGCUGGUCGGGUGUGUGGCGGCUUGAGGGGCUUUGUGCGAUCUUGCCAAAAUGGUUUUUACCGACUCGUCUUGAAACACGAACCAAGGAGUCUAAGACUAACGCGAGUGUGGUGGUGGAGAAACCAACACGCGAAAUGAAAGUGAAUGAUGCCAAGCUUGCGCAGCAUCGACCGACUUUUGUCUACAGGCUAAGGUUUGAGUAAGAGCGUUAUUCUUAGGACCCGAAAGAUGGUGAACUAUGCGUGAA